rnacentral:tRNA from 1 species
CCCCGGGUGGUAUAAAUGGUUAACACACCCAGCUGCUAACUGAAAGGUUGGAGGUUCGAGUCCUCCCUGGUGAU